CUCGAGACGGCGGGGUAGAGGCCCGCCGCGGUAACGACGGGUAACGGGGAAUCAGGGUUCGAUUCCGGAGAGGGGAGCCCGAGAAACGGCUACCACUUCCAAGGAAGGCAGCAGGCGCGCAACUUACCCCUAAUCUCGAUUCGAGGAGGUAGUGACAAGAAAUACCGAUGCGGGGACCCUACGGGGUGCCGCGUUCGGAAUGAGUACGAUUCGAACCACCUAACGAGGAACGAUCGGAGGGCAAGUCUGGUGCCAGCAGCCGCGGUAAUUCCAGCUCCAAUAGCGUACGUUAAAGUUGCUGCAGUUAAAAAGCUCGUAGUUGAACGUUCGGGUUCCGCGGGACGGGGCCGCCCCGCGAGGGACGGCGCCGCCCCGGGGCUCGUGAUAUCUCAUCUCGCCGCCCGUCGCGAGGCGGACGGAGGGAUGGAUGAGGUUACCUGGAAAAAAUCGGGGC
rnacentral:rRNA from 1 species